UCAAGUGAAGAAGCGCAUACGGUGGAUGCCUUGGCAGUCAGAGGCGAUGAAAGACGUGGUAGCCUGCGAUAAGCUUCGGGGAGUCGGCAAACAGACUUUGAUCCGGAGAUCUCUGAAUGGGGGAACCCACCUAGGAUAACCUAGGUAUCUUGUACUGAAUCCAUAGGUGCAAGAGGCGAACCAGGGGAACUGAAACAUCUAAGUACCCUGAGGAAAAGAAAUCAACCGAGAUUCCCUUAGUAGUGGCGAGCGAACGGGGAUUAGCCCUUAAGCUUCAUUGAUUUUAGCGGAACGCUCUGGAAAGUGCGGCCAUAGUGGGUGAUAGCCCCGUACGCGAAAGGAUCUUUGAAGUGAAAUCGAGUAGGACGGAGCACGAGAAACUUUGUCUGAACAUGGGGGGACCAUCCUCCAAGGCUAAAUACUACUGACUGACCGAUAGUGAACCAGUACCGUGAGGGAAAGGCGAAAAGAACCCCGGAGAGGGGAGUGAAAUAGAACCUGAAACCGUAUGCGUACAAGCAGUGGGAGCCUACUUGUUAGGUGACUGCGUACCUUUUGUAUAAUGGGUCAGCGACUUAUAUUCAGUGGCGAGCUUAACCGAAUAGGGUAGGCGUAGCGAAAGCGAGUCUUAAUAGGGCGUUUAGUCGCUGGGUAUAGACCCGAAACCGGGCGAUCUAUCCAUGAGCAGGUUGAAGGUUAGGUAACACUGACUGGAGGACCGAACCCACUCCCGUUGAAAAGGUAGGGGAUGACUUGUGGAUCGGAGUGAAAGGCUAAUCAAGCUCGGAGAUAGCUGGUUCUCCUCGAAAGCUAUUUAGGUAGCGCCUCAUGUAUCACUCUGGGGGGUAGAGCACUGUUUCGGCUAGGGGGUCAUCCCGACUUACCAAACCGAUGCAAACUCCGAAUACCCAGAAGUGCCGAGCAUGGGAGACACACGGCGGGUGCUAACGUCCGUCGUGAAAAGGGAAACAACCCAGACCGCCAGCUAAGGUCCCAAAGUUGUGGUUAAGUGGUAAACGAUGUGGGAAGGCUUAGACAGCUAGGAGGUUGGCUUAGAAGCAGCCAUCCUUUAAAGAAAGCGUAAUAGCUCACUAGUCGAGUCGGCCUGCGCGGAAGAUGUAACGGGGCUCAAACCACACACCGAAGCUGCGGGUGUCACGUAAGUGACGCGGUAGAGGAGCGUUCUGUAAGCCUGUGAAGGUGAGUUGAGAAGCUUGCUGGAGGUAUCAGAAGUGCGAAUGCUGACAUGAGUAACGACAAUGGGUGUGAAAAACACCCACGCCGAAAGACCAAGGGUUCCUGCGCAACGUUAAUCGACGCAGGGUUAGUCGGUUCCUAAGGCGAGGCUGAAAAGCGUAGUCGAUGGGAAACAGGUUAAUAUUCCUGUACUUCUGGUUACUGCGAUGGAGGGACGGAGAAGGCUAGGCCAGCUUGGCGUUGGUUGUCCAAGUUUAAGGUGGUAGGCUGAAAUCUUAGGUAAAUCCGGGGUUUCAAGGCCGAGAGCUGAUGACGAGUCGUCUUUUAGAUGACAAAGUGGUUGAUGCCAUGCUUCCAAGAAAAGCUUCUAAGCUUCAGGUAACCAGGAACCGUACCCCAAACCGACACAGGUGGUCGGGUAGAGAAUACCAAGGCGCUUGAGAGAACUCGGGUGAAGGAACUAGGCAAAAUGGCACCGUAACUUCGGGAGAAGGUGCGCCGGCUAGGGUGAAGGAUUUACUCCGUAAGCUCUGGCUGGUCGAAGAUACCAGGCCGCUGCGACUGUUUAUUAAAAACACAGCACUCUGCAAACACGAAAGUGGACGUAUAGGGUGUGACGCCUGCCCGGUGCCGGAAGGUUAAUUGAUGGGGUUAGCGCAAGCGAAGCUCUUGAUCGAAGCCCCGGUAAACGGCGGCCGUAACUAUAACGGUCCUAAGGUAGCGAAAUUCCUUGUCGGGUAAGUUCCGACCUGCACGAAUGGCGUAACGAUGGCGGCGCUGUCUCCACCCGAGACUCAGUGAAAUUGAAAUCGCUGUGAAGAUGCAGUGUAUCCGCGGCUAGACGGAAAGACCCCGUGAACCUUUACUGUAGCUUUGCACUGGACUUUGAGCCUGCUUGUGUAGGAUAGGUGGGAGGCUUUGAAGCGUGGACGCCAGUUCGCGUGGAGCCAUCCUUGAAAUACCACCCUGGCAUGCUUGAGGUUCUAACUCUGGUCCGUGAUCCGGAUCGAGGACAGUGUAUGGUGGGCAGUUUGACUGGGGCGGUCUCCUCCUAAAGAGUAACGGAGGAGUACGAAGGUGCGCUCAGACCGGUCGGAAAUCGGUCGCAGAGUAUAAAGGCAAAAGCGCGCUUGACUGCGAGACAGACACGUCGAGCAGGUACGAAAGUAGGUCUUAGUGAUCCGGUGGUUCUGUAUGGAAGGGCCAUCGCUCAACGGAUAAAAGGUACUCCGGGGAUAACAGGCUGAUACCGCCCAAGAGUUCAUAUCGACGGCGGUGUUUGGCACCUCGAUGUCGGCUCAUCACAUCCUGGGGCUGAAGCCGGUCCCAAGGGUAUGGCUGUUCGCCAUUUAAAGUGGUACGCGAGCUGGGUUUAGAACGUCGUGAGACAGUUCGGUCCCUAUCUGCCGUGGACGUUUGAGAUUUGAGAGGGGCUGCUCCUAGUACGAGAGGACCGGAGUGGACGAACCUCUGGUGUUCCGGUUGUCACGCCAGUGGCAUUGCCGGGUAGCUAUGUUCGGAAAAGAUAACCGCUGAAAGCAUCUAAGCGGGAAACUUGCCUCAAGAUGAGAUCUCACUGGGAACUUGAUUCCCCUGAAGGGCCGUCGAAGACUACGACGUUGAUAGGCUGGGUGUGUAAGCGUUGUGAGGCGUUGAGCUAACCAGUACUAAUUGCCCGUGAGGCUUGACCAU
rnacentral:rRNA from 1 species